CCCCGGCUCGCUCUCUCUCGCUCUCAGAGACUACUCUUUCUUCCCUCCAAACACAUAUCCGCACCCGCACAUAUACUACAACGUGGAUGAAGUUGAGAGCCAAGAGCUUGCUCUCGAUUCUAAGAAACAGCAACCACCAACCUCACUCCCCACCCAAUCAUCAUCAACAACAGCAGCAUCGAACCCUAGUGAAAGUCCGUCUGAAAUGGGUCAAGAAUCGAACCCUAGACCACACCAUCGACACCCACACCGACCUCAAGGCCGCCUCCCUCCUCAAAUCCGCCAUCACCCGCUCCUCAACCGGCUUCAUCACCUCCAAAUCCAUCUCCGAUUGGCAAAAGCUUCUGGGUUUAACUGUGCCCACUCUCCGUUUCAUCCGCCGUUACCCUACUCUCUUCGAGGAGUUCCCCCACCCCAGGUAUCCCAGCUUACCCUGUUUUCGCCUCACAAAAUUUGGUACUACUUUGCACAAUCAAGAGCAGAGUCUUCACCAGACCCACGAAGCCGAUACAGUCCAACGGCUUUCUAGGGUUCUUAUGAUGACUAAGAACAAAAUGCUUCCUCUUCAAUCAAUUCAUCCUUUGAAAUGGGACCUGGGUUUGCCUGAUGACUUCGAUAGAACCCUAGUUCAGAAGUACCCUGAUCAUUUUCGGGUUGUUAAGGGAUUGAAUGGGUUGCUGUCUUUGAAAUUAGAGCAAUGGCCCGAAGAGUUUGCAGUUUCUGAGUUGCAGAAGAGUAGUGAGAAUCGCAAAUUGGGUAGUUUUAAUAGUGAGUAUAGGCAAUUUAAAAGGGGGCAAACUGCAUUGGCGUUCCCAAUGAACUUUCCGAGGGGUUAUGGAGAGCAAAAGAAAGUGAAGGCAUGGAUGGAGGAGUUUCAGAAGUUGCCAUACAUUUCACCAUAUGAUGACUCUAGUAUUAUUGAUCCGAAUAGCGAGCUUAUGGAGAAGAGGGUCGUUGGGGUCUUACAUGAACUUUUGAGCUUGACUAUGUAUAAGAAGACUAAGAGGAACUACUUGAGAAGCUUGAGAGAGGAGUUAAAUCUUCCUCACAAGUUUACACGGAUCUUUACGAGAUACCCGGGGAUCUUCUACCUCUCUUUGAAGUGUAAGACAACGACGGUGGCACUAAAAGAAGGCUACCGGCGAGGGAGAUUAGUGGAUCCGCAUCCACUUGUUCAAUUAAGGGAGAAGUUUUAUUAUGUAAUGAGGACUGGGUUGGUUUAUAGGAAUAAAGGUUUGGAUAUGAUACCUCAACUAGACAGUUUGGCUAAUGAUGAGGUGGAUGUUGCGGAACAAGAAGGGUCUGAGGAAGAAGAGUAUGAAAUUGGGGAUGAUUGCUCUGACGAGGAAGCUUCAGAGGUUGAGGAGGAUUCCAAUGAAGAUUAGUGUCUUAUCCGACACAAAGACAAAAAAAAAAAAAAGCAAUUGUGUCUUGCUUUGUAAAGGGAGAAGUGUUUCAGAUCUAAGUGUUGACUCUGGAGAAUCCCAUGUUCUUUGCAGUUUUAGCAUUCCAUUGACAACGAUACAAAUAUCAUGUUCUCUACUCUAUGCCAUGACAAACUCAAAACUUCUACAAUGCUCCCAAAUAAUAUGGGAGUAUGAUGCUCCCAUUAAAUCUAGACCCUUAGAUUGAAAAGUAGGUAAAUUACAACCUUUAGAUCAAAAUCACUCACAAAAAGUAUGGUGGGUUUGCUAAAACUGAGAUGGUUUUAAGAAUUUUUUUACCAAAAAAACGUAGUAUUACUUACCACAGAAACAGGUUUUAUAACUUCUAUAUAGUUUGUAACUUUUUUCUUUCAUAUACCAGUGUAUUUAGUUUGAAUGUGUUGAGACAAUAUCCAGGGAAUAACUACCUGUUGUGGUUUUGAAGCGAUGCUACUGCACAUAAUGCUGAAUCCAUGCUAUGAUAUGACAAAACUAGAUUCAAGCUUCUAUAGUGCAAAUUGCUGAAACCCAUGCCAUGAUAAUCACAAGAAUAUAUCCGUGUAAAACUUAAAUAAAGGAGCACUAUUCAGCGUUUUUGCUCUGAGUCUCAGCUGCAGAUUUCAUUAGUAGCAUAUCGAUGUUUGUAUUCAGUAACUCUUAAAUUUAUCACAGAAUAAAGGUACCUUUAACUUAUGAGGCCGGUGUCUUUGCCUAUAACAUAAUUGAUGCUUAGGCCUUGGACGAGAGAUUGAAAAUGAUGAUAAAAAAAGGUAGCAGGCUCCCUAAUGCAUUUCAUGAAGUAGAGAAAAUUAUGCUCGCAAUUCCAUUGAUUUAAUUUGUGGAAUUUGAUAUAUGGAAUCUGCAUUUUCUCUUAUUUGGUCUGGUUGUGGCAUUUUGGGUUUGUUCAGGCUUCAUACAGUCUCUUCGUUUGAAGGCUCUGAGAUGAGUGGAGGGCCCGUUU